UUACCAAGGCGAUCGAGAGAAUCGUGGUGAAGGAACUCGGCAAAAUACCCCCGUAACUUCGGGAUAAGGGGGACCUGAUACGUAUAAGAGCUUUGCCUUGAAAGCGUUGAGGGUCGCAGAGACCAGGCCCAAGCGACUGUUUACUAAAAACACAGGUCCGUGCUAAGUCGAAAGACGAUGUAUACGGACUGACUCCUCCCCGGUGCUGGAAGGUUAAGGGGAACUGUUAAUCAACUUUGUUGGUGAAGCGGUGAACUUAAGCCCCAGUAAACGGCGGUGGUAACUAUAACCAUCCUAUGGUAGCGAAAUUCCUUGUCGGGUAAGUUCCGACCUGCACGAAUGGAGUAACGAUUUGGGCGCUGUCUCCACCACGAACUCGGCGAAAUUGCAUUACGAGUAAAGAUGCUCGUUACGCGCAGCAGGACGGAAAGACCCCGGGACCUUUACUAUAGUUUGGUAUUGGUGAUCGGUGUGACUUGUGUAGGAUAGGUGGGAGACUUUGAAGCCGGGACGCCAGUUCUGGUGGAGUCAUCGUUGAAAUACCACUCUGGUCACUCUGGUUAUCUAACCUAGGUCCAUUAUCUGGAUCAGGGACAGUGCCUGAUGGGUAGUUUGACUGGGGCGGUCGCCUCCUAAAAGGUAACGGAGGCGCCCAAAGGUUCCCUCAGCCUGGUUGGCAAUCAGGUUUUGAGUGUAAGUGCACAAGGGAGCUUGACUGCGAGACAGACAUGUCGAGCAGGGACGAAAGUCGGGACUAGUGAUCUUCUGGUAGCGAAUGGAAGCGCCAGGACUCAACGGAUAAAAGGUACCCCGGGGAUAACAGGCUGAUCUUGCCCGAGCGUCCAUAGCGACGGCAUGGUUUGGCACCUCGAUGUCGGCUCGUCGCAUCCUGGGGCUGGAGUCGGUCCCAAGGGUUGGGCUGUUCGCCCAUUAAAGCGGCACGCGAGCUGGGUUUAGAACGUCGUGAGACAGUUCGGUCCCUAUCCGCUGCGCGCGUAGGAGUCUUGAGAAGAGCUGUCCUUAGUACGAGAGGACCGGGACGGACUAACCUCUGGUGUGCCAGUUGUUCCACCAGGAGCACGGCUGGUUGGCUACGUUGGGAAGUGAUAACCGCUGAAAGCAUCUAAGCGGGAAGCACGCUUCAAGAUGAGGGCUCCCACAACGUUUAAGUUGGUAAGGCCCCCUGUAGACCACGGGGUUGAUAGGUCGGACGUGGAAGCACAGUAAUGUGUGGAGCUGACCGAUACUAAUAGGCCGAGGGCUUGUU
rnacentral:rRNA from 1 species